rnacentral:rRNA from 1 species
UACGUAGGGGGCAAGCGUUGUCCGGAAUCAUUGGGCGUAAAGAGCGCGUAGGCGGCCCAGUAAGUCCGCUCUGAAAGUCAGAGGCUCAACCUCUGAAUGCGGGUGGAUACUGCUGGGCUAGAGUCCGGAAGAGGCGAGUGGAAUUCCUGGUGUAGCGGUGAAAUGCGCAGAUAUCAGGAGGAACACCAAUGGCGAAGGCAGCUCGCUGGGACGUGACUGACGCUGAGACGCGAAAGCCAGGGGAGCGAACGGG